GUUCUCCUUUUCUGGGGUCAUUAAAUUGACUCCUAGCCGUCUCAAUGUUGAUUUUAAUUAAAGAUAAUUAUACUGCCUCACUCAACCUGCCAGAGAUAAAAUGAGGUAUUUUAUAAAUGCUUUGAAAAGUUGAAAACUUUCACCAUUUCCCUUCUCCCCUGCUAAUGAGAGAUGGGGCUGGGAUGACUCCCUGUUGAAUGAGGCAAGAGGAUCAUCUCCAUUGGGUGAAUGAAGCACUGAGGCGGAGCGAGGGUCACCCACGCUGAGACAGGUGAGAUUCUCCUCUGCUAAGGAUAACAGUCUUACUCCUCAAUGAACUAUAACAACCGCUCUAAAUGCAUCUCCUGUAACAUACCUCUGUGAUUUGCAAAAGUGGGAAUAAAUCAAAGCCGGGAAGAGAUGCCACGUUAAGCCAGAAGCUAAAUGUUACAUCAUGUCGCGCGAGGCCAGGGGAAGAGAGAGGCUGCUUUUCCCUGGCAGCACAAUCUGUUUAUGCUCCUUACCUCCGCCACAGCCCCAUUAAAACAAUCAUUCUGAAUCUGCGGGAAAUUGUCACCUCUUUCUUUUCUGCCAUGGCAGCUGGUAUUGGAGGCUGCAGACAUUGCUCAUUCCCUUCAAGGUUCUUAACACACACGCAAAAAAAGAAAAUGAAGCUUAAUUUGUUAAAAAAGAAAAAAAAAAGUGUCAGCUUACCCUCA
rnacentral:lncRNA from 1 species